rnacentral:ncRNA from 1 species
GAGAAGAGGUAUCUCGUAAGGCUCAACUAAUAUGGGCCCCCUCUUUGGGAAACCAAGAGGAGUGCACUCGUCAAAUUCGGAGAAAUCCUCUCCGCCAACUGGUGGAAAGACAAUUCCGAGCUAAAUUCUCCAACUUUAGUUGGAGAUAAAUGUGUAGAGACUAGAUGACGAGCUCCUUAACCUUUUAAUUUAUUUUUAAGAGAGGAGAUGGUAUAGUCCAGACCACAAAUCGUUCG